GUGCAAUCCAGACUGAAGGGGGUCAAGCAGAGAGUUGGAUUCGAGAAAAUCAGUCAGUCUGGUGUACACAACUCUCUUGAGGAUCUUGGUAGGCAAAUGGCAGUAGCGAGAUAGGGCGGAUGAGAUACGAGGGAAUAGGAUUGAGGGAACAGGUGGUGGGGCGAGAGGACCAGAGCAGAGCAGAAACCUGUAGCUGGUGCGAAUGAUUGUAGAAUGGUGGAGGAAGUGGGGUUGGGUGAUGUAUUGGUAGGGGAAGGAGAGAAAUUAGCUAUCUCUUCUCUGAUUGUAGAGAUCUUCUCAGUGAAGUGAUAUGCA